rnacentral:rRNA from 1 species
UACCAUGCUAAAUAUACCGGUUCUCAUUAGAUCACCGAAGUCAAGCAUCAUUGGGCGCGGUCAGUACUUGGGUGGGUGACCACCUGGGAACACCGCGUGCCGUU